AAGGAAGGUCCUGCUGCUCACGGCUUUGAAAGCCUGUCCUGCGUGUGAUCACCACGUGGAUUCAGAGAGUGAGCUGGACAAGGUGUAUAAUCUGGACAGCUCCCAUCAUAGUCCUCAGAACUGGUGCAUCCCAACCUUUGUCCUGGAGCUUCGUAACCCAAACCUCAGAUCUUUAUUCUCUCUUCUGAGUGAAAACCACCCUCCUUUAGACCAUUAAGAGCUGAGGGUAUUGGGACUUCCCUGGUGGUUCAGUGGGUAAGACCUUGCCCUUCAAUGCAGGGGAUGUGGAUUCAAUCCCAGGUUGGGGAGCUAAGAUCCCACAUGCCUUGUGACCAAAAAACCAAAACAUAAAACAGAAGCAAUAUUGUAACAAAUUCAACAAAAACUUUAAAAAUGGUCCACAUUAAAAAAAGAGAGAGAAUAGGAGCCAGGGGUAUAGAAUAUUAGCAUUAUUGAGCACGUUUGAUGUGCUAAUCACCCAGGAGUGCCAGGUGACUUCUAGCAAGUAUUUUAUUUAAUCUUUGUAAUAACUCUGUGAGAUAGGUAUUAUUAUCUCUGUUUUAUCUGUGAGAAAACAGAGGUUUAAGAAGUUGGGCAACCUUGUUCAAGGUCCCACAGUAAAUGAGGAGCUAUGAUUCUU
ensembl:lncRNA